rnacentral:rRNA from 1 species
GACGAACGCUGGCGGCGUGCCUAAUACAUGCAAGUAGAACGCUGAAGGAGGAGCUUGCUCUUCUGGAUGAGUUGCGAACGGGUGAGUAACGCGUAGGUAACCUGCCUGGUAGCGGGGGAUAACUAUUGGAAACGAUAGCUAAUACCGCAUAACAGUAGAUGUUGCAUGACAUUUACUUAAAAGGUGCAAUUGCAUCACUACCAGAUGGACCUGCGUUGUAUUAGCUAGUUGGUGGGGUAACGGCUCACCAAGGCGACGAUACAUAGCCGACCGGAGAGGGGGGUCGGCCACACUGGGACUGAGACACGGCCCAGACUCCUACGGGAGGCAGCAGUAGGGAAUCUUCGGCAAGGGACGGAAGUCUGACCGAGCAACGCCGCGGGAGGGAAGAAGGUUUUCGGGUCGUAAAGCUCGGUUGUAAGAGAAGAACGAGUGUGAGAGUGGAAAGUUCACACUGUGACGGUAUCUUACCAGAAAGGGACGGCUAACUACGUG